rnacentral:rRNA from 1 species
GACGAACGCUGGCGGCGUGCUUAACACAUGCAAGUCGAACGGAAAGGCCCUGCUUUUGUGGGGUGCUCGAGUGGCGAACGGGUGAGUAACACGUGAGUAACCUGCCCUUGACUUUGGGAUAACUUCAGGAAACUGGGGCUAAUACCGGAUAGGAGCUCCUGCUGCAUGGUGGGGGUUGGAAAGUUUCGGCGGUUGGGGAUGGACUCGCGGCUUAUCAGCUUGUUGGUGGGGUAGUGGCUUACCAAGGCUUUGACGGGUAGCCGGCCUGAGAGGGUCACCGGCCACAUUGGGACUGAGAUACGGCCCAGACUCCUACGGGAGGCAGCAGUGGGGAAUAUUGCACAAGGGGCGGAAGCCUGAUGCAGCAACGCCGCGUGCGGGAUGACGGCCUUCGGGUUGUAAACCGCUUUCGCCUGUGACGAAGCGUGAGUGACGGUAAUGGGUAAAGAAGCACCGGCUAACUACGUG